rnacentral:rRNA from 1 species
AACGAACGCUGGCGGCAGGCUUAACACAUGCAAGUCGAACGCAUCCUUCGGGGUGAGUGGCAGACGGGUGAGUAACGCGUGGGAACAUGCCCUUCAGUUCGGAAUAACCCAGGGAAACUUGGGCUAAUACCGGAUACGUGCGAGAGCAGAAAGAUUGAUCGCUGAAGGAGUGGCCCGCGUCUGAUUAGCUAGUUGGUGAGGUAAAGGCUCACCAAGGCGACGAUCAGUAGCUGGUCUGAGAGGAUGAUCAGCCACACUGGGACUGAGACACGGCCCAGACUCCUACGGGAGGCAGCAGUGGGGAGUAUUGGACAAUGGGCGCAAGCCUGAUCCAGCCAUGCCGCGUGAGUGAUGAAGGCCUUAGGGUUGUAAAGCUCUUUCGGCGGGGACGAUAAUGACGGUACCCGCAGAAGAAGCCCCGGCUAACUUCGUGCCAGCCGCCGCCGUAAUAC